GGGGGUGAAUCUGGUUUCGACUGUAAGGCAAAGUAACAGAUUGCAUGCAGACUUUCUGAAAGUCUUUAAACUUCAGAAAAAAACGAAUUGACAACAAUUCACUAGCACUUGCUGCUUAAUUGUAAGUAGCAGGGAAGUCUGAGAUAGCUUCUGGUUUCAGAACUUCCCCCGAUUACAGAAGCGAACUUUUUUCUUUGUCUGGGAGAAGAAAGUAAAAACACAGGCUGGUUUAUUUCAAGUUUGGAAUUUUUCUUGAAAUAAACGAGAUUGAAAAAUUCCUAAGCAUGUAGAUAUCCGUUAACGAACCUUGUAGGACGGGAGUUCAACUCUCCCCACCUCCAAUA
rnacentral:tmRNA from 1 species